GAUGAACGCUGGCGGCGUGCCUAAUACAUGCAAGUCGAGCGAACAGACGAGGAGCUUGCUCCUCUGACGUUAGCGGCGGACGGGUGAGUAACACGUGGAUAACCUACCUAUAAGACUGGGAUAACUUCGGGAAACCGGAGCUAAUACCGGAUAAUAUAUUGAACCGCAUGGUUCAAUAGUGAAAGACGGUUUUGCUGUCACUUAUAGAUGGAUCCGCGCCGCAUUAGCUAGUUGGUAAGGUAACGGCUUACCAAGGCAACGAUGCGUAGCCGACCUGAGAGGGUGAUCGGACACACUGGAACUGAGACACGGUCCAGACUCCUACGGGAGGCAGCAGUAGGGAAUCUUCCGCAAUGGGCGAAAGCCUGACGGAGCAACGCCGCGUGAGUGAUGAAGGUCUUCGGAUCGUAAAACUCUGUUAUUAGGGAAGAACAAAUGUGUAAGUAACUAUGCACGUCUUGACGGUACCUAAUCAGAAAGCCACGGCUAACUGCGUG
rnacentral:rRNA from 1 species